CACGAAUGGCGUAACGACUUCCCCGCUGUCUCCAACGUAGACUCAGCGAAAUUGAAUUCCCCGUGAAGAUGCGGGGUUCCUGCGGCUAGACGGAAAGACCCCGUGCACCUUUACUACAGCUUCACAGUGGUGUUAGUGACGGCAUGUGUAGGAUAGGUGGUAGGCUUUGAAACUUGGGCGCCAGCUCAGGUGGAGCCACCCUUGAAAUACCACCCUUAUCUUCAUUGACAUCUAACCGCGGCCCGUUAUCCGGGUCCGGGACCCUGUGUGGUGGGUAGUUUGACUGGGGCGGUCGCCUCCCAAAUAGUAACGGAGGCGCGCGAUGGUAGGCUCAGACCGGU
rnacentral:rRNA from 1 species